GGAAGCAGAGCAGAGUCCAAACACAAUCUCACCCUGUAUUCACUCACUUCUUUGAAUUCAUCCAAAUCUUUUGAUUUUGUCCUUCAGAGGAAGAUUAAAUGGCCAAGGCACUAGUUGAGUAUGAAAUUAGAAACGGGAGAAACUAUAUUAUAAACAGAUUUAGCUCACUUGGCCCACAGGAGAUACAUAUGACAUCUCGGUUGAAUGAAGGAAUGUGCUGUGAACCACCUGGAUGACCCGCGACCAGAGUGCUAAUCAGCGAGUGUCUGGUUUUCAUUCUCUGUUGACUGUGCAUAAUACUUCUUGCUUGACCUUAAUGUAUUAGGAUACGGUCUUUAAAAGCACCUUGGGAAACUUGGAUACAAAAAAAUAUAAAAAUAUACCUUAUUAUUAAUGUUAUCAUGGCUUAAUUGAAAAGAGCACUUUCCUAUCAUAUUGCUAUAUUUAUAAGAUUUCUGUACUUCUUCAAAUGGCCCUGACAUACACUGCUUAAAAUGAAAAACAGACAGCUUUGAGUUAGAGAAGUAAUUGCGGUUAUAUUGUUUCAACUGGAGCUAAAUGGAUUUCCACGGCUAACCCCAAAGGUAGAAGGCUGUUACUUUGGCCUGGAUUUAUAUUUAAAGUGUCCAAAUACAAGAGUGUAAGUUGGGAAGAUGUGAGAGUAAGUGGAAGACUUUCCCAUUUCUGUUUGUUCUCUGUGCCGCUUAAGGCUGUGUAUGAUUAGUGUUAGUUGCAUUUAAGUGCUUUGUUUUCCCCCGGGUUACAAACAUCGAAGGGAGGAGGGAGGAUAAGAGGAUGGAGAGAAUGGAAAAGAAUUCUCAGAAGGCACUGUGAACACAUCCGCUGAGGGGUGAGUUAUAAACGAAUGUGAGGAAGAGACAUUUAAUUUCCUUCCACAGAAGCUGGAGGCUGGACGGAGGAACUGACUGAGCAUAGCUUUACUUACCACGUUUAAGCCCUGCUCGGUGCAGGGAAAAAUAAUUCAAGUCAUUUGGUAAUAACUAUCCCUUACAUAUCUGCAUAGUGCAGUCCCCCGUGCCCUACAAUUGCUACCCGAUUCACUUCCACACGUAUUUGUUGGGUGUCCACCAGGUUCCAGAUUAGCGCCAGGUUUGGGAACUUAAGGCUCAAGGAAGUCACAGCCCCUAUUCUCAAAGGGGUGACAUCGUGUGACAUGAUACAUGCACAGAAGGUAAUGUGGCGAAUUCUGUAGUUGUGGAUAGCAGAAAUCACCAGGGGAGUACAGAUGAGCAAGCAAUUAAUUUUGCCUAGACUUGCAUUUCAGUCAGCCCAGAAUAUGUACGUACGUAAGUAUUCAUUUAUUCAUUCAAAUGAUUUUUUUGCUUGCCUACACUGUGACAGAUAUUACACUCGUCAAAGAAUGCCAUGAACGCUACACAAUUAUAAACUGAAACAAGUCAAAUGAAAAAUGAACCUUCGGUAGGCUGGUCUUCCUCAGGAAUGCUUUUCCUCAGCUGGUCAUGGAACUGGAGGACAGUCAGAGUUAAAGCGAAAGAGAGAGAGGAGUUUGCAUUUCCAGACGGAAGGAAGGGCACCUGUAAAGUUCUGUUGUGGGUGGAACACAAGUUGCAGGCAGAGAAGGGAGGCCAGUGUGACGGUCUGUCACAGACCAAGGAGGAAUGUGGUAUGUGUAUUCAUUUACUAGGGAUGCUGUAAUAAAGGACCACAAACUGGGUGGUUUAGAACAACGGAAAUUGUGUUUUAAGAUACUUUUUUGAUGUGGACCAUUUUUUAAAAACUAUUUAUAGUUUUAAAAAAGGAGUCAAGGGAAAGAUUCUGAAGAUAGAUUGAGCUUGUUUAAAUGUAGUUAUAGGAGCCAACCACCUUUACAGAAGAAUAAAAGGAAAAUCAGAACUAUCAGGUCUGGAGAAGGCUGGAGGGGAUAAGACCCAAGUGAACUAUUGAGAGAGAGAGAGACUUUAGCUAGGAGAAGUAGUAACUCCUAUGUUCUAGUGAUAGGAGGAAGAGAGAAUGAAUUCCAAUAUAGGCGUGCUAGUGGAUGUACACAGUUUGAGUAUAAACACAGAAUGCUUUUCUAAUAACUUCUGUCAACCUUUCUGAAAACUAGAAUCCCCUUUCCCCAUGGCCGGUAGGGAUUCUCAAUAACAUCUGUUUAAUUCCAUAACUAUUCAAUUGAUUAAAUGUUUAAAACUUGACCAGCCUGGUUUAAUACUGUAAUUUCGUAUUUUAUUCAAAUCUGCUUCCCCACAAGGACUCAGAUUUUUAUUUGAACGGCUUGAAAUGUAGAUGGGGCUGUGGUAUGGUCUUCUCACUCACUGCUUAAACCCACCUGCCUUCCGUGGCUAAAUGAUACUCAUGCAAGUAAGGAAGCAAAUGGAAAAGGAAAGUCCCUGAUUCGUGUAAAUUUUAAGGAUACACAGAGGUUCAAAGCGAAGGAAUGGAGAAAGGUAUUCCAUG
ensembl:lncRNA